rnacentral:misc_RNA from 1 species
UGAUUCCUUCUCCCAGUCUAUUCUAAUGGCAAAUCCUUACAGAUCCAGAGAAGGUCUUAGUGCGAGAGCGGUGGCGAAUUCUGAAGAGGUUCAGGUGAGGAUUGAUCCUGUUCAUGCAGACCUUGACGAAGAAAUCUUGGGUCUCCACAAACAAGUCAGCCAACUGAAAAUUGUGGCUCAAGAAAUUGAAACAGAAGCUAGAAUUCAGAAUGACAUUAUCUCUGAUUUGCAAAGGCUGGUGAGCAAUGCUGAGGCAGGGGUGAAAAGUGGCAUGAGAAGGUUGAACCGGACCAUUGUCCAGCAGAGAUCAAAUCAUAUCUUGCAAGUAAUCAUUUUUGGACUAGUUUGUUUUGCUGUAGUCUACUUGUGGUCCAAGCAUUUUAGAAGAUGCGA